rnacentral:tRNA from 1 species
UCCGUUGUAGUCUAGAUGGUUAGGAUAUUCGACUCUCACCGAAGAGACUAGAGUUCAAAUCCUAGCAAUGGAA